rnacentral:rRNA from 1 species
UAGAGUUUGAUCCUGGCUCAGAUUGAACGCUGGCGGCAGGCCUAACACAUGCAAGUCGAGCGGUAGAGAGAAGCUUGCUUCUCUUGAGAGCGGCGGACGGGUGAGUAAUGCCUAGGAAUCUGCCUGGUAGUGGGGGAUAACGUUCGGAAACGGACGCUAAUACCGCAUACGUCCUACGGGAGAAAGCAGGGGACCUUCGGGCCUUGCGCUAUCAGAUGAGCCUAGGUCGGAUUAGCUAGUUGGUGGGGUAAUGGCUCACCAAGGCGACGAUCCGUAACUGGUCUGAGAGGAUGAUCAGUCACACUGGAACUGAGACACGGUCCAGACUCCUACGGGAGGCAGCAGUGGGGAAUAUUGGACAAUGGGCGAAAGCCUGAUCCAGCCAUGCCGCGUGUGUGAAGAAGGUCUUCGGAUUGUAAAGCACUUUAAGUUGGGAGGAAGGGUUGUAGAUUAAUACUCUGCAAUUUCGACGUUACCGACAGAAUAAGCACCGGCUAACUCUGUGCCAGCAGCCGCGGUAAUACAGAGGGUGCAAGCGUUAAUCGGAAUUACUGGGCGUAAAGCGCGCGUAGGUGGUUUGUUAAGUCGGAUGUGAAAUCCCCGGGCUCAACCUGGGAACUGCAUUCAAAACUGACUGACUAGAGUAUGGUAGAGGGUGGUGGAAUUUCCUGUGUAGCGGUGAAAUGCGUAGAUAUAGGAAGGAACACCAGUGGCGAAGGCGACCACCUGGACUAAUA